CCUACGGGAGGCAGCAGUAGGGAAUAUUGGGCAAUGGGCGAAAGCCUGACCCAGCAACGCCGCGUGUGCGAUGAAGGUCUUCGGAUCGUAAAGCACUUUUCGGGGAGAUGAGAAAGGACAGUAUCCCCGGAAUAAGUCUCGGCUAACUACGUGCCAGCAGCCGCGGUAAAACGUAGGAGGCAAGCGUUAUCCGGAUUUACUGGGCGUAAAGCGCGUGUAGGCGGUCGGGCAAGUCAGAUGUGAAAGCCUUCCGCUCAACGGAAGAAGUGCAUUUGAAACUACCCGGCUGGAGUACGGGAGAGGAGAGUGGAAUUCCCGGUGUAGAGGUGAAAUUCGUAGAUAUCGGGAGGAACACCAGUGGCGAAGGCGGCUCUCUGGUCCGAUACUGACGCUGAGACGCGAAAGCGUGGGGAGCAAACAGGAUUAGAUACCCUGGUAGUCCACGCCGUAAACGAUGGGCACUAGGUGUAGGAGGUAUUGACCCCUUCUGUGCCGAAGUUAACGCAUUAAGUGCCCCGCCUGGGGAGUACGGCCGCAAGGUUAAAACUCAAAGGAAUUGACGG
rnacentral:rRNA from 1 species